UAUUCUGCCCUACGGGGAAGGAUGAGACGCUUCGACUAAGGUUCGACUCGAGCGUAGCGCGAGAACGUUGCCGCAGGCACCGGCCCGAAGGGCGAGGCGCGUUAGCGCCGAGUCAUCCUUCCCCCACCACCA
rnacentral:sRNA from 1 species